UCUUAUGUACAUGCUACAACAUAAUGUUAAUGCACCGGAUCCCAUUAGAACUCCGGAGUUUAGCGCCCUCAGGAUAGAGUAGUACUAGGAUGGGUUACCGCCAUGGACAUCCUAGUGUUUUAGAU
rnacentral:rRNA from 1 species